GGAUCAUCCAUGCAUCAUGUGGACUGGAGGCUGCAGGAGAAUUCCAGUUUUGGUAUUCCAUGCCGACGCUAUUCUUACAAAGGACAACAAUAUUAGAGUAAUUGGAGAACGUUAUCAUUUGUCUUAUAAGAUUGUACGAACGGACAGUCGCCUAGUACGCAGCAUUCUGACAGCCCAUGGAUUUCAUGAAGUUCACCCAAGCAGCACUGACUAUAACCUAAUGUGGACAGGAUCCCACCUGAAGCCCUUCUUACUGCGCACCCUCUCUGAAGCACAAAAAGUUAAUCACUUUCCCAGGUCUUAUGAACUUACCCGGAAGGACCGACUGUACAAAAACAUUAUUCGAAUGCAGCAUACACAUGGAUUCAAGGCUUUUCACAUCCUCCCCCAGACCUUCCUGCUGCCAGCUGAGUACGCGGAAUUUUGUAAUUCAUAUUCGAAGGACCGGGGACCUUGGAUAGUAAAACCAGUGGCAUCUUCUAGGGGGCGGGGCGUCUACCUGAUCAACAAUCCAAACCAGAUCUCCCUGGAAGAGAACAUUCUGGUCUCCCGUUACAUUAACAACCCCCUGCUCAUAGAUGAUUUCAAGUUUGACGUGCGCCUCUAUGUGCUCGUGACUUCCUAUGAUCCUCUUGUCAUCUAUCUCUAUGAAGAAGGAUUGGCUAGAAAAUGCAAUUGGAAGAUGGGAAAUACCAUGGAUAAAAGAAGGCUACCUAUUUAUGUACAGGUGCUUUGACAAAUAUUAUUGUACUCUGACAACUAUUAUUUUAGAAUGGUCUUUUAAUGAUUUUAGAGACUUAGUUUUUUUCAAAUGUAUCCUAUGACUUGAAAUCAGUGAGAGCAGACUAACCAAACCUUCUCGCUGGUGGAGCUCUGUGUUCCGUUCGCCUCUAGGUGGCAGUGACAGCAUUUAUAAGUCCUGUCAUAUUCUUAAGUGAGAUUUUGAGUUUGAGCCCUGGGAACAUUGGAGACUACCAAAACUCCCUAGUUCUGGCCUCUUCCUUGAAAAUUGAGAAAGGGAAGAACUGAAACAUCUCGCAGUUAUUAGAUAAAGGGCUGGACCAGGCAUCUGAACAUGAGCUGACUACUAGCUCUAAUCAGGUUUUUAUAGGAAAGAAAUUGUCGAUAAUAUUUGUAGACACACGUGCUCUCACGUUUUGAAGUAUCACUUACAAAAUUAGGUAUAAAAGCCUAUUCCUGGCCAGGCGUGGUGGCUCACACCUGUAAUCCUAGCACUUUGGGAGGCUGAGAUGGGAGGAUUGCCUGAGGCCAGGAGUUCAAGACCAGUUUGGGCAACAUUGUGAGACCCCAUCUCAUUAAAAAAAAAAAAAAAAAAAAAAAAAAGAGCAAGAAAAAGCCUAUUCCCUAUAUUAUUUAGAACAAAAUGAUGGUAAAAUACAGUCCUGACUUCUCAGAUAUGCAAGGUGCUGAGGAUUUUCAGCUUUAUAAUUUGAGACUUCUGAGCUUUCUCUCUUUUGUGUUAUGAGUUUCAUCAUUCUCCUUCCUCUGCUCAUCCUCACCUUAACUUCUCUCCUGUGUCAAGUUUUAGAAACUGAUUAUGUCCUGCCAAAAAUUGGACUUUGGGAAUAGAGAAAAGAGAUGGAGGUUGUGCUUCACUGUUUCUCAAGGACAUCAUACCAAUAUGUUUUGCUUAAUAUUCCAAAGAUAUUUUCACCUACAAUAUUAACAGCCCUCUCUAUGGGUAAAAUUUGGCAUAAUUUUAAGACCUUUCUGGUUCAGAGCACAACAUGAGAACAACAGUACCAAUGUUUAUUAUAGAAUUUACUACAAAUAUGCAAGUGCUUUGGCUACUGGUUGUGUGUUGGAAGUCAGAAUCUACUGAAUUAAGUAUAACCCUUUUGCUUCCAGCAGAAACAAAAAAAUUUAUACACACACACACACACACACACACACACACACACGCAAUGGAUGUUUUUUCUCAGAAUAAUUAGAAAAACAGCUUUUAAAAAACUCAGACCAAGUAGAACCAGAAAGCCACAUGAAUUUUCAGGGCUUUGGUUAGGUUUACCUGAAAGUGUAGGUGAAUAUAAAAGCUUUAUCAAAGCUUUACAAAAGCAUAACGCAUGGCAAUAUGAUGCGCUGUUUGCGGGAGUCCUGCGAGGGCACAUUGUUCCGUGCAGUAAUUUCAAUGUGCCUAAGUUCUUGUGUCUUCACUAAUUAUGUAUCUUGACAUUCACUUGCUUUGUUGUAACCCUCAGAGUCUGUUCAACUAUGUCGAUAGUCUGUAGCAUCUCCAGAUCUGCAGCUUUUAGUUAUCUUGGGCCACAUGUAAUUUAUGUAGACAUAACUGAAGAUCAUCAGUUUGGGAUGAGAUUAUUGGGUUACGUUGAGGCUCAACAAGAAAAACCAUAAUCUUUCCUAAAGAGACGGAACAGGAGGCAAAUACAAUUCAUUUCCUUCUUUAGAAAUGAAUUCCCUUACACCCUAUCACUUCUGUUUUGGACCUCAAAUUAAUACUAGGCGACAGAAAGAUUGAAUUCAUUUCACAAGACAGUUUUGUGAUAUAAGUUAUUUUGUGUAAAAUUUUUUAACACAAAAUUAAAUUCGUGAAAACCCUAGUUUCUGUAUAGAUGAGUGUUUUCAGUUGUCCUUAUUGUUUUAUUAACAUAAGAAGUGGGAGAGCUCUCACUGUUUUCUCAUGUGUGGGUAUAGUAUUGAAGAAGUGUUGCAAUUGUCCCCCUGGUAUUUGGGUGCAGCUUUUUGUGAUUCCCACAGUAGCCCUCAGAGGUCCCCUGUGCUUUUGAAUUUUUCUUGCAUGUUGCUGUUUUGCACCACCAGGGGACACUCAGUUUCCACAGAGGGGUGCUAUGCUCUACCAAAAUGGUGCAGAUUCUUUUUCCUGUCAGGGGUGGACUCCAAAAAGAUUUUGUCCUGGAUUUUACAGCUUUAGGUGGAUCCAGUAUUGGGUUUAGAUGAGUUGACAGAGCCCUUUCUGAGAUGAAGCUAAUAGCCAGAUUUUCACUGAAACAGGAAAAAUAAAAAGUUCAAAAAAAAAAAAACAAAAUGGAGUUAAAAACUAAAUAUGUUGCCAGAGACCCAAAGAUAGGCAGCUCUAGCAACUUGGGGGGCAUGCAAGUACCCAUCCAGGGAGCUGAGUUCCACCCAUGCGGCGGAGGUGGGAAGAGAGGAUUCUGGGAAGGUCCCGGUUGGAACGGCCUUUUUUCUGCCUCAGCCAUAUUAUUCAGUGGAAAUUCAGAAAAGACCCCAAAACAUUUGUGGUGCCUUUCGCUUUCUCCCCACCCCCAGUUCCUUCUUCAGUAGCCUUCCUUGCUAAUUAACACUGGCUCCGCAGGGAUAUUUACCUUUUCUCUGCUGGAUUCCUGUGGUUUUGAAAGAAUUCAGGUACUUGCUGGUUGCCAAGGAAUUCAGAUUACCUCACAGGCUGCACACUGUCCAGAAUCUGCCACAGCAGCAAGUAGGGGGAAGAGACACCAACAAGGGGGAGAAAACCCUUUCCAGUGCUCAUUGUCACCCUCCCUGGCAGGCCCUUGCUGUUUGUGAAGUUUGAGUCAUUUCUGGCUCUAAAGACAAGGGAUCAGGCUGGUAAUCCCCUCCCAGACGGCUCUGUAGGGCGCUGCCUAGUCACUGCAGCGCUUUGGCAGUCUCCCGGCUGCAGCUGGUUGACAGCAGAUCAGAGAGCUCUUGGGCCUCUUGUUCUCUUCCAUAAGAUUUUUCUGGGUCAGGCCAGGAUGAAACCCAGUGGCUCCUGGCAAGGCUGCCUGAGGUGCUGUCUCUUCAUUGUCCAGGCCUCUCUGACUCAAAAUGCCUACACCUGUUGAAGGAUAACUCAUGUGCCACAGCGAGGUCGAGGCUGGCCUUCUCUUUUCUUGGUACAUUUGUAGUGAAUGUUUGUCAGAAAAUAUAACUACCAAAGAGGAUGUUAAGCUUCUACAUCUAGAAUGCCUGUGACUCUGACCAUAAGAAGAUAUUGGUAUCAAAAAAAAGUUUUUAAGAAAACAGCAGGAC
rnacentral:sRNA from 1 species